UGGCGAACGGGUGAGUAACACGUGGGUGAUCUGCCUUGCACUCUGGGAUAAGCUUGGGAAACUGGGUCUAAUACCGGAUAGGAACCGUCUUUAGUGUGGUGGUUGGAAAGUUUUUUCGGUGCAAGAUGAGCUCGCGGCCUAUCAGCUUGUUGGUGGGGUAAUGGCCUACCAAGGCGUCAACGGGUAGCCGGCCUGAGAGGGUGUACGGCCACAUUGGGACUGAGAUACGGCCCAG
rnacentral:rRNA from 1 species